ACAGCUCUUCCCCAGAGCCGCUCGCCUCCAUAAUAGCCCUGCCACCUCUCAUUAGCAGUUUCCCCAUGGUAAUCCAAAGAGACAUCACCAUUCCGGUGCAGCCCAGCGUGGGUCAUUUCCAUGAAACAGCAGAAUUCAUUACGAAUGAGCACCAGAGAAAUCUGCGGCAGGCAGAAGAUAGAGAAUAAGUCCCGGAAUCUAAGCACAGAACAGCACCUUCCAUAGGCUCUGAAAUGAAGAUGAAAGGGAAUUGCAGCUCAUCGACUGAUUUGCAAAGAGCUUCACAUGCUCCCAGGCAGGAUCGUGUAGCAGCUCUGAAAUCAAUGAGGCAUUUGCCAUUUCCCUCUCACCUUGCCCACCUGUGGAUUGGCACAGGCCCAUGGCUCAGGAUUUAUGCCUGUGGAUUUCUUCUGCUUGAACAUGAAAGCAAAUGCCACUUUGGCUCAUCUUCACUCGAAGAAGGAGAGGGGGCAGGGAAACCUCCGAUGUCAUAG
rnacentral:lncRNA from 1 species